rnacentral:lncRNA from 1 species
CUGCAUUUGAACUGUGCAGCAUAAUCAUCUGUAAAUCUCUGUAAAGGAAUGAAGCUUUCCCAGUAGCCCCUGAGCACAGCUUUUGACUGUCCUGUGCAUCACCAGUGCAUUGAGCACUACAAAACUGCUGGCACCCCAAACACAGAGAAGCAAAACCAGUGAUACUCUUUAAUAAGUAUGAGAAAAGAAAACCCCUGAAAGAGUCACCCAAUGGGGGUUACAUACUUUUUCUGUACAUGACCAUUUAAAACCAAGAAAGAACAGGCUGGUCUUUGACAGGCAUUGAGAAAGGUCAUAGUUUUCCUUUUUAUAGCUGACACUGAAAUUGCAAGGAGAGCAAAGCAAUGAGAAGUUGAGACUCGACCUCGGUAUAUUUUGAUAUUAAAAAAAAGAGAAAAGUUCCUGUGAUAGGAGACAGCCUCAGAAGAAUACUGAAAGGCAAAUGUGCAAGCACAUUGCAGCUAAGCUUGGCAGAGAAGCCCUCUCAGUGCUGUAUCGGGGGGAUUGUGCUGCUCAAAAUGUCAUCUCUCAGGUAAAUACACAGCCACUAUAUAUAGUGGCUUCCAAUUCCUUUGUAACU